GUGGGGAAUCUUGCGCAAUGGGCGAAAGCCUGACGCAGCCAUGCCGCGUGAAUGAUGAAGGUCUUAGGAUUGUAAAAUUCUUUCACCGGGGACGAUAAUGACGGUACCCGGAGAAGAAGCUCCGGCUAACUUCGUGCCAGCAGCCGCGGUAAUACGAAGGGGGCUAGCGUUGCUCGGAAUUACUGGGCGUAAAGGGCGAGUAGGCGGACAGCUUAGUCAGAGGUGAAAGCCCAGGGCUCAACCUUGGAAUUGCCUUUGAUACUGGCUGUCUUGAGUUUGGGAGAGGUGAGUGGAACUCCGAGUGUAGAGGUGAAAUUCGUAGAUAUUCGGAAGAACACCAGUGGCGAAGGCGACUCACUGGCCCAAUACUGACGCUGAGGCGCGAAAGCGUGGGGAGCAAACAGGAUUAGAUACCCCGGUAGUCC
rnacentral:rRNA from 1 species